CAAUUGAUUUUUUUUUUGCAAUUCCAAACAAAUGAAGCAAACAACUAACUCGAGUGAAAUUACAACAAACUAAAACAACAAAUUUCAACAACUAGGUGCUGAAAUUCUAAUACAAUUACAAACUCAAGUAAACCAAAAUAAAAAUAACACUUAGCUCUUCAACUUUCCCAGCAAACAAACAUCUCAAACACAAUAACGAGAAACUACAAUAAACAAAUUAUAACUACCCUUAAAAACAAACUCAAAUACAGGUAAACCAAAACAAAAAUUACAUUUAUCUCUUCAACUUUUCCAGCAAACAAAAUCUCAAACACAAAAACGACAAACUACAACAAACAAAUUACGACUAUCCUUACAAACUGAUAAGGAAAAAGAGUAAACUCCAAGUAUCUGCCCAAAAACAAGUAUGUCGGUUCUAACAUUUGCAUGAGUUGAAAUAACCAUAAAUUGAAAAAGUUUAGCAUUAUUUCUUUGUGUACAUUAACAUGACAAUGCUUGAGGCUGUUUUCAAUAUUGUGCAGAGAACAACAAAAUUGUUCUCUUUAUGUGUCUGUUUUUCUUGAUUUUGUCGCUUUUUUUUCUAAUUUAAAUUUUUUAUAUCCGUUGUUCUAUGCCAAGUUGUGCAUAUGUUACAUUUAACUGCUAUUGGUUCUCUUCUGAUUUGAAUUAGAACGUAAAAGAGUCUUGACCGUAUAUAAAUUGAUAUGCUCACUUUUGUUUAUUUGUUGUAGAUUUCAAACGUAAAAAAUAAGGUAAAUAAACACGUAUUCAAUAUAAUCUUUUGUCUUUAACUAGUUAAAAUUUUCUUUCUUUGUUAUUAUGAAGAUCUUUAGACAAAAAGUUAAAGAGAGUCCAAUUAUAUAUGAUCUAUGUUUUUGUUCUCUUUUGUGAGUAACACUGCUGGAGAAAUGUUGGGUUAUGAGAUAGUCGCGGAACAAAAGGACUACCGAAGGUUAUUAUCAAUCCUGGGGAGCACUUUUAAGGUAAAUACAGAUGUGUUUUUAUCUUUUUAGGUAGCUAAAAUUUUUUACAUUUUGUUAGCGUGUAACUCUUUAGGCAAAAAGUUUAAGAUGGUCCAGGCGUGUCACUUGUGUUUUUUUUUUCUUUUUGAUACCAUUGUUUUAAAUGCGGAUUAUGAGGUAUUUGAUGAAUAAGAGGUUUCUCUUCCUUUUUUAUCAUAUUUUUCUUUUUUAUAUUGUUUUUUUAUUAGCUUAAUUAUUUUAAAUUUUUUUUGAUGGAGUUGGAGAGAGUUACAACGCUAACUAUUUCUACAUCAUCUAUCACAUUAAAUUUUAAAAAAAAAUUCAGACGAAGCUCAACUCCAUCUACUGCAUGGUCAUUUUAGUGGAAAAGAAGGUAUGUGGUUCGAUUUGAUAGCAAAUACUGGUGAUGGUGGGAACUCGUCUUCAUCGGUUGCAGUGGCAUUUGGUCAGCAGUCUCUUUUGAUUCUUCAGUGUUUCUAAUGAGGUUGCAUUUACUGAAAUGGUACUCAGGACAUUGGAGCUGGUCGAUACAGUGGUUAGGUACUAAGAGCUACUGUGUUUUGUGAGGUAUCUCUUUCUUCUUGUCUUUCACAUUAUAUUUAUUGAGUUUUGGUAUACUUGACUUGUUUCUCGCGUCGCUGGCAAGAGGACGGAGGUCCUGACCAUUCUUCAAAAUUGUGCUGUAAGUGAUAAAAAUUCAAAUUUUAUUUUAAUGAUUUUGCAUAUUUACUGGUUGUAGCAAAUCUGCGAAUA